rnacentral:misc_RNA from 1 species
UUAAGUUCAGCGGGUAUCCUUGUCUGAUCUGAGGUCAAAACUUCAGUCUUCCCGGUUGGGGGGAGACAUCACGUUUAACGCCGCGAAGCAGUCACCAGCAGGCUUUUUGGAAGAUUGUAACACCACUCCAUUGACCUGGCUAGAAGGGGCUUGCGGUCGUGCAGCAAGUUUAGGGAGGGCGCGGGUGGAAUGAAAUACCA